rnacentral:rRNA from 1 species
CUCGUAGGCGGUUCGUCGCGUCCGGUGUGAAAGUCCAUCGCUUAACGGUGGAUCCGCGCCGGGUACGGGCGGGCUUGAGUGCGGUAGGGGAGACUGGAAUUCCCGGUGUAACGGUGGAAUGUGUAGAUAUCGGGAAGAACACCAAUGGCGAAGGCAGGUCUCUGGGCCGUCACUGUCGCUGAGGAGCGAAAGCGUGGGGAACGAACA